rnacentral:tRNA from 1 species
UUUAGCGGUGACAUGCUUGGACUUCAAAAACGUAGGGUGGAAGCG